GAUGAACGCUGGCGGCGUGCUUAAUACAUGCAAGUCGAGCGGACGGACGAGAAUCUUGCGUGGUUGAUGUUAGGGGCGGAGGGGUGAGUAACACGUGGAUAAUCUACCUAUAAGACUGGGAUAACUUCGAGAAACCGGAUCAAAUACCGGAUAAUAUUUUGAACCGCAUGGUUCAAUAGUAAAAUACGGUCUUGCGGUCACUUAUCGAUGGAUCCGCGCUGCAUUAGCUAGUUGGUAAGGUAACGGCUUACCAAGGCGACGCUGCAUAGCCGACCUGUGAGGGUGAUCGCCCACCCUGGAGCUGAGCCACCGUCCUGACGCCUACGGGAGGCCGCAGUAGGGAACCUUCCGCAGCGGGCGAGAGCAUGACGGAGCAGCGCCGCGUCAGUGACGGAGGUCUUCGGUUCGUAAAACUCUCUUAUUAGUGAAGAACAGAUGUGUCAGUAACUGUGCACAUCUUGACGGUACCUAAUCAGAAAGCAACGGCUAACUACGUG
rnacentral:rRNA from 1 species